AAUUAACCAGAUAUAUCAUAAAGAGAUAUUAUUGUGAAACAAUAGACACAAAGUUGUUAAUUUUCUAAUUUUUAUAUUGAGUAUCCUUCAUCGAGUAGACUCAUUAAACCUUUAUUUAUUUUUUUUUUCGUUCAAAUCAUUAUGAAUUGUUCGUUCUUCAUCGAGAUUUCACACAUGUCCUCGAUAUCGCCUCGUGUUUUUAUAUUUAUUCGAUUAUACCGUUUUCUGAGAGGAGUUGAUUUACACGUACAUUUCCUGACAUCAGAAGAAAAUUCUUAAAUCCCAUUUCGUGCCUGUUCAGAAGAAAGUGGGUGCAAAAUUCAGGUGCAUCAGAUAUGGAUCCCAGUCUAGAAGCAGCAGUAAGGAAAGAACUGACUUGUCCUUUCUGUAGUGGAACCCUGUACAGUCCUUUACGUCAAUGCAACAACGGUCACAUCCUCUGCAACGAUUGUAUCCCUGAUGUAGAUUCCUGCAACUUCUGUAGCGCCUCUGUGGGACACACUCGUUUGUACAGCUUGGAGAAAAUUCUUGACGAGAUGAUUUUUCUCUGUAAAAACUUUCGAAGAGGUUGCAAAGAAAAACUUCUGGGGUCACAUAUUAGAGAACAUCAAGAAACUUGCAGAUACAGAGGGAGAAAAAGAAUGACCUUCUAUUUUGGAAGAAGAUACAAUUGAAGUUUAUACAAUGAAAAUUGUAGAUAAGUCGUGUUGAAGACAGAAAACCAACUAAACAAAAUAUACGAAAAAAAUGAUAAAAGUGAAAAUAAAAAAAAAUAUUAAAAAAGAUCUAAAUGAAAAUAAUCUUAUCAAAUAUCACUUGCAAAUACUAUUUUCAGGAAAUGUACGAGUGAAUUUUUAACUUCGACACGUUUGAAAAGAUACCUCGCGAACUCUUAAUUUAUAUUUUAUUUUAUAUUGUGAAGAUGAGAUGUACAGUUUUGUAAAUACCAUGAACCUUUUUAAACUGAAUCAUUAGGGUUGACAAAAAAAUUAAAUUGUGUGUAGAUAAAGAAUUAAAAAAAAAUAUGUAUUAUGUAUUGUAUUUGUACAUAUGAUUGUCGAAAAAAAUAAAAACCAACCCAGACCAAA